rnacentral:misc_RNA from 1 species
AAAGUGCGAAAAGUGUCAUGACUUGCAGAUUCCCGAGAGCUGACAAAUCUCUGAAUGCAAUUGGCAGUCGCGUUAGACCCGACUAUGUAUUGUAGAGUGUAGAUGCUCCAGCUAUUCAUCAUGUGUACUUAAUAAUAUAUAUACAUAUAUGUUAUUAUGACCCAUACAUGGAUCUGCGCUUGCGGACGAGAAUCUCCUUCUUCGCGAGUGUUAAAAGAAAAGGUCUACGGGUAUGUGUGUGUAUUAUAUACAUACAUAUAUUCGUGCACCGAUGAUCUACGGAACAGAGACGUUACCGUCCCUGGUCUCGAAACAAUCGGAUGUCAACUAUAGACAUAACAAAAACAUAUACAUCUAUAUGAGCCACCUCUACAAUGCAUGAAAACCCGCUGAACUUAA